GUGGGGAAUUUUGGACAAUGGGCGAAAGCCUGAUCCAGCCAUGCCGCGUGCAGGAUGAAGGCCUUCGGGUUGUAAACUGCUUUUGUACGGAACGAAAAGACUCUGGUUAAUACCUGGGGUCCAUGACGGUACCGUAAGAAUAAGCACCGGCUAACUACGUGCCAGCAGCCGCGGUAAUACGUAGGGUGCAAGCGUUAAUCGGAAUUACUGGGCGUAAAGCGUGCGCAGGCGGUUAUAUAAGACAGAUGUGAAAUCCCCGGGCUCAACCUGGGAACUGCAUUUGUGACUGUAUAGCUAGAGUACAGCAGAGGGGGAUGGAAUUCCGCGUGUAGCAGUGAAAUGCGUAGAUAUGCGGAGGAACACCGAUGGCGAAGGCAAUCCCCUGGGCCUGUACUGACGCUCAUGCACGAAAGCGUGGGGAGCAAACAGGAUUAGAUACCCUGGUAGUCC
rnacentral:rRNA from 1 species